UGUGAAAGAGGAGAGAGGUAAUGGUUGUACUCCCCCAUGAUGAUAGAGGGAUGUGAAAGAGUGAUGAUAGAGGGAUGUGAAAGAGGAGAGAGGUAAUGGUUGUACUCCCCCAUGGAGUGAUGAUAGAGGGAUGUGAAAGAGGAGAGAGGUAAUGGUUGUACUCCCCCAUGGAGUGAUGAUAGAGGGAUGUGAAAGAGGAGAGAGGUAAUGGUUGUACUCCCCCAUGGAGUGAUGAUAGAGGGAUGUGAAAGAGGAGAGAGGUAAUGGUUGUACUCCCCCAUGGAGUGAUGAUAGAGGGAUGUGAAAGAGGAGAGAGGUAAUGGUUGUACUCCCCCAUGGAGUGAUGAUAGAGGGAUGUGAAAGAGGAGAGAGGUAAUGGUUGUACUCCCCCAUGGAGUGAUGAUAGAGGGAUGUGAAAGAGGAGAGAGGUAAUGGUUGUACUCCCCCAUGGAGUGAUGAUAGAGGGAUGUGAAAGAGGAGAGAGGUAAUGGUUGUACUCCCCCAUGGAGUGAUGAUAGAGGGAUGUGAAAGAGGAGAGAGGUAAUGGUUGUACUCCCCCAUGGAGUGAUGAUAGAGGGAUGUGAAAGAGGAGAGAGGUAAUGGUUGUACUCCCCCAUGGAGUGAUGAUAGAGGGAUGUGAAAGAGGAGAGAGGUAAUGGUUGUACUCCCCCAUGGAGUGAUGAUAGAGGGAUGUGAAAGAGGAGAGAGGUAAUGGUUGUACUCCCCCAUGGAGUGAUGAUAGAGGGAUGUGAAAGAGGAGAGAGGUAAUGGUUGUACUCCCCCAUGGAGUGAUGAUAGAGGGAUGUGAAAGAGGAGAGAGGUAAUGGUUGUACUCCCCCAUGGAGUGAUGAUAGAGGGAUGUG